AUGAGAAGCUCGCCGGUAUUGGGGCGAGGAGGAAUAUGGUGAGGAUCAAGCCGCUUGCUACAGAAUAGUAACAACGUUACUUACCAACACCAACGUAGCCGUCUGUCCUGAGAGAGAAAAUAGUUAACGUUAGGUUAACAGAAUCUCACUUAAAAUGGGUCCCUUGCAUAUGUGUCUUCCUUGUACAUAAGGUCGUUUUAGAAGGAGAGAACCGAUUUUACUCCCAAAAACAUGGUAGAAUGUGUAAAACGAAAAAUAUUUUACUUCAAAAUAAAAGGGAAAAUAACCUCGUCCCUUCUCUUUUUUUUUUUACGGUUACAAGCACUUUGAGAUUGAUAGCCCAACCAACUUAGCCAACCUCUUUGCCCCUUUGUAACUAUGGAACUAUCCAAAAUAAAUCAAUAAAAGACCACAUUAAUUUUGCUCCAAGGUAUUGGUAGGUGGCACCAUGAAUUUAAUUAAUGGGUUUUUCCUUCUUCCAUUAUAUUAUUGAGAGUACUCAAUAAUUACCUAUAAAAGUAGAUUCCAGUUGGCUCAACAAAGUCUCUAAUGGUUGAAUAAAAAAUUUGGGGUUUAAUCCCCGCCUACACCAAAAACCAAUUGGUGUCUUGGUUUGAUGAUAAUGAGCUAUCAUCAGGAGCGGACCUCCAUAAAUUGAAACUCUCUUAAAAAAAAUAAUAAAUAAUUACCUAUAAAGUUUAAAAUUUGAGUGCUUUUAGUUUCAAUAUUUCAAAUGAGUGAUUUUAGUCUCUAAAGUUCUAAAAACAAGUUAUAUUUGAUUUUUCGUUCGCUUUUGUUAAAAUUUCCUAUGUACGUGGCUAAUAGAGCAAUAAACUUAUCUAUUUUUUAUGAUGUGUCAUCCACUUUUUAUAUAAAAUAAAAUAAAAUACACAAUAGCUUUAUUCAAACAAAAAAUUGUACAUGAGUCCUAGUUUCACAUUCCCCUAAGUUAAUACCUAAGCAACUACAAUUUUAAAUACCCCCAAUUCCCUUAAAAGGGCAUAUUAUGAGGAACCAAUUCCAAAUGCAAAGGAAGGUUGAUUCUUGCAAUAGCAAUGCCAAGUGCUUUGUUUCAUGUCUGACAAAAGAGAUUUAGGAUUUAACUCCAAGUCUAUCAUAAAUAAAAAGAAUAGGAGACUGAGCUUUACUCAAGUAUCUAACAUAGUAAGGCUCUUUGUAGUCAUUUGUAAAAUCCAGAUCAACCCAAACACAUUUGAGGCUCCUUGAUAAGGUCCACAUUGUGGGCAAUAUAUUCAAGCCCGCAUAAGGGUUACCAAGUUUGCUUUGAUACCCUUUUUAAUGGUACUGAAAGGAUUAAGGUGAUGUUUAGGUCUUUUAGGGUUUAGGGUUUAUAUGUAUAUUUUUUUGAUAAUCAAAGAAGGUGAGAUUUAAUCCCUAAAUGUCUCCAUUAGAAAUACUAGAAAAUGUCAGUUGAGCUAAAAGGCUAUUGGUGAGUGUUUAGAGUUAAGUUUUUGAGUGUUUGGUGAGAUUUAAUCCCUAAAUGUCUCCAUGAGAAACGCUAGAAAAAUAUUAGUUGAGCUAAAAGGCUAUUGGCGAGUGUUUAGGGUUAAGUGUUUGAGUGUUAAGGGAAUAGGGUUGAUGAUGAACAUAGUCUAGGGUACAUGUGUGAAAGGAAUUAAUGCAUGUGGUGUGUGUUGGUGUAGGAUAACUUCAAGUAUUGAAAAAACAAGAGAGAGAGAGAGAGAGAGAGAGAGUGUGUGUGUGUGUGUGUGUGUGUGUGUGUGAGAGUUAAGAAAAUGCAUCAGUAUUCAUUAAUGAGACUAGGGUUUACAAUUGGGUUGUUAUACAUGGACUUCCGUAAUACCUAUCAGUUGUUCAUUUAGCAUAUGUAAAAGAUGGUUAUUCUCAUACUUAACACAUUUUGAAUGGGCUCUCCACUAAUCUAACUAAUUCAUGCAUGUGCUACUAGUAACUAACUCUAACUAACUUUAACUAACUUGACUAAUUGACUUUGUUACAUGAAUUAUCCCUUACAUAAACUUUCUAUAUGAGUUGCCAGCUGAUAUGAAUUAACCAAAAAUGUAAGAGAAGUGAGUAUCACAUCACUGUAUUUCAGAAGUACCAAAGAUUGACCCAAAAGUUACAUUUUUUGGGGGCAUAAAUUUAUAAUUUUACCAAUUCCUCCAUACCCUAUACCAAUAGAAAUAAAACAAACAAAAAAAUGUUGUCUUUAUCUCUUUUUUAAAAAUUGUGGUUAAGAAUUAGUCGUUAUAUAUCUCCUAUUUGGGAUUUAUUUAUUUAUUUAUAAAAAUCUCCUAUUCGGGAUUAAGUUAGUUGCUAAAUGAAAAUAAAUUAUUUUUAUUAACAAAGCAUGAUGUCGUGAUUGUCCUGAAGAACAAGAAUUUAAAAAUUAUUUUUGUAUUAUAUAUGUUAUUUGAAGAGUGUUAGAAUUUAAUUUUAGUGAAUUUUCCAUGAUUUAUACUUUUAUAUUUUGUUUCUUAUUAUUUAGUUGGAAAAAAAUUAUAAAAAUGACUUGAUAUUGUGUUUACAAAUCUAACAAUAUUCUGGAAAACAUAAAAAAAUUCAUAUAAAAUUAUUAGGAAUAAACCUAACAUAAGAAUGUCAUCAUAUUCUCAAGAAUCUUAGUAAAUUUCUAACCAAACGCCCCUUGCAACCUAGUUGGUGAGGUUGAUCUAAUUAAUGGCCUAUAAUAUUUGCUAUUUUUAAUAGUUAAGAGGGAAAUUGCUUGACUUAAGGGGAAUUAUGAAUUACCCAUGCAUAAAGCAAGAUAGUUUUUUUUUUUUUUUUUUUUUUUGGUUUUCCUAAUUUUCUCCAAACCAACUUCAAAAAAUCCCCUCCAAUUCAUAAUACUAUUUGCUGACUAAAUUGCAUACUCAUUAAAUUAUUGUACAUAUAAUUUUUUUUUUGAGGGAAUUAUUUAACAUAUACUUCAAAUAGAUGAUAUGACUGAAAAUACACAUAUAAAUUGUUAUAAGAAUUGCCCAAUCAGAAAAUUCCCUACAAAUUAGUCGAGUCAAAAUUUGUUGAAUGGUACUUUUUAAGGAAAAUUUUAGAAGAAUAGCAUGUAACUGAAAUUAUUUAGCUAUAUUGACUCUUUUUGGAACUCAAGUUUGUUAAACUUAAGUUCCAACCCAAAAUCGAGUUAAUCAAACUUAAGUUUCAACUAAUUUAGGUUGCGUGACAGCUAAAAGUUGUAUAACAAAUUGGAAUUCAAGUUUACUAAACUCGAUUUUAAGGUUUGACAAACUCAAAUUUGAAAAGGAGUUUACAUAAAUAUCUACUCUCCUAAAAUUUUCUUUAAAAAAUACUACUCAGCCAAUUUUGCCAAAAAGACAAAAUUUAAUACUUUAUCCUAAUAAAUUACUAACUUCCCAAAAAAAUAAAAAAAUAAAAAAUUGAGGCGGUCGGGGCUUGAAUGUCAAAUGCGUAAUUUGCUUGUGACGUCUGAUCCGAUAUCCCAACUCAACUCAACUAUGAGCCUUCAUAAUAAAGUCGAUAACUCCUAAAUAAACCUCUCUUUCUCUCUCAUUUUCUCUCUCUCUUACACAAACCUGACCAUAUUUUUGAAUCUCCCCACCACCGAAUACCGAUUAAGAAGAAUAUUCGUGAAUUUCUACAGGUAUUUAUUAUUAUUGUUUAUUUAUUUAUUUUUUUAAUUAAACUUCCUUUCUCUAGGGUUUUGAUUUAUCUCUCAGUCUGUACCUAGGGUUUUAUUAUACAAUAGAAAGAAAAAUUCUAAUGAACUACUAGGACUUAGAAAUGAAUCAAAGAAAUUAAACGUUAAUUAAUUAUUUAAUCCGAUAAAUUGUUUUUAUUUUAUUUUACUUAGAAUAACCGGAGCUAUGGGUUCGUCUUCGACCGAAGCUUUUCCACAAAUGCAGGUACAUCUUGUAUUUUACCCAUUUUAUCAUAAUUUUCUAUGCAUGUAUGUAUGUAUGUGGUUCCGUACAAUAUACAUGUAUUUGUAUGCCUGCGUAUACACAUGUACAUGAUAUAUGUAUGAGUAUGGCCUUGAGAAUAUGCUGUUAGUUCCCUAAAGUUUUAGCCUAUGAGCAAUUUUAGUCUCUGAAGUUUAAAGUGAUCGUUUCUAGUUUGUUUUGACGUGGCCAAACUGAAAAUUGACACGUCAUCACUGAUCGGACACGUUAUAGGGACGGAAAGCGAUCAUGCUCACGAGCUAAUUGGAGUAUUUGAUACUAAUUGCGAGUUUUCGGUUAAUAUAAUGUUAGUUACUAAAGUUUAAAAUAUGUGUGAUUUUAGUCUCUGAAGUUUAAAGUGAUUGCUUUUACGUUUAAUGACGUGGCCAAACUGAAAAGUGACACAUCAUCAUUACACUACAUCAGACACAUUAUAGGGAUGGAAAGCGAUCACACUUUAAACUUUAGGGACUAAAAUCGCUCAUGGGCUAAUUGGAGUAUUUGAUACUAAUUGCGAGUUUUCAGUUAAUAUGUAUAGAAAUUCUUGUUUGAAUAAGGGAAGGUUUGUUUCUUUGUAUUGGAAUCAUAAAAAACGAUUCUUUGUUAGCCUAGGAAGUUCCAACUUAAUUUUUCUUUUUAAAAUAAUAUUGGAUGUGUGAGUACACUAUCCGAUAAACAGUGUGAUCUUUAUAACAAGUGCAAAACCAGCGGAAAACCUGACUUAACGAGAAAGCGCCUCCUAAUGUUACAAAAAACUAGCAAGAAUUAAAAAAAAAAAAAAACAGUAGUUGAAAUCCUCCAUAAGUAAAGCAAGUAAGCAACACACAGAGCCCUUGACAUUUCUUACAUCAAAGCAGUCUAUAUCAGAGAAUUAACUUCAAUAUAGUAUUACUUAUAGUUAUGGAUUAGAUACAAUCAUAUUCACACUCCAUCUUGGUUGCAUGCAAAAGGUUUUAUAAAAAACAAGUAAAUGAAAGAGAAAAUUGUAAGGCAGGGAGUAGUCUUUAAGAAAUGGAGAUAAAUGACACACACAAACACACAAAUAUGCACACAUCUUAAGUGGGGAAGGGGGAUUUGUACCCUGGAUAUCUCUGCUGGAAACAGUAGGAAAUGCCAUUUGACUUAACGGUCAUUGGUUGCUUGUUACAUUUUUAUGUGAUUGGUUUAAUCUCUUAUCCGAGAAUGUUGAAGUCUUUUAUUAAUCUUUGUGACGAUGGAUAUACCGAAAGCAAAAAUAAAUGAAAAGAAAGAUAUGUUUAUAUUUGUUACCUAUAAAAAAAAAAUGUUAUAUUUUUCAAAAUUAAUGCGAAAGGGAAAUUUGUAUUUUAAAAAAGCCCAGCAGGAGCUUAAAUGGCACCUUAUGCCUUUGUAAGGGUAACAUGGAUGGCAAGGUAGAAGGAUCACAUUCAUCAUGUGCAUUAAUUAUUUUACCAUGGGAGUAAAAACUUGCCAAGUAAUAAUAAGCCCAAUAUUGAGCUGAAGAACAUUAAGUUUGCAUGAAAGUCAACCUAUAUAUUCUCAUUUUGAAUGGGCCAUUUAGGUUUGAUAAUUUUCUCUACUAGGCUUCUCUUGUAUUUUGUUUUUAUCUAGUUUGUGAUGGACAUCCACUUGCUUUGGCUCUUUUGUGUGCUCCAUUUAUGCAAUUAGGAUUGAAUUCCAAACAGAAACUACUUUUAUCAUAUCCCAAAUUCAGUGCUUUCAAUAGAACCCCUAUUGUUGUUUUUCUUGGACUAGAUCUAGAACUAUCAUCGAUGUUAAUUUGUGAGUGGUCUGCCUACCUCGUAUAUGCUAUACAAUUUUUUUUUUUGAUAAGUAAAAAAUGUCAUUGAAAAUUGAAAUUAGAAUUUCCAAUGAAAACAAGGCAUACCUAUCAAAAACAAUACAAUGAAACCAAGGCACAUAGGCAGUGUGCUAUAGAGACAACAGCAAAUAUAACCUAAAAUAACAAUGAAAGUGCAAAAAUUAAGCAAAUCAAGCAUAGAAAUAAAAGUAAGAACGCCCGAAGCAUUUGCUCAUUCAAACAAAGUCUCAAAGAAGGAAAGCAUCAACUCAUGAAUCAAUCUUUUUUUCCCUUCAAAGGUACGUGCAUUCCUUUCCCUCUAGAUAACCCACAUAAGUCAUUGAGGGAUCAUACUCCAAAGCACCUUAGUUUUGUGUCUAUUGAACUUGCCUGACCAACUAGCGAAAAGUUCCACAACACCAUGUGGCAUGACCCAGUCAACCCCAAACAGUGAACACACCUUAUUCCACAACCUAGGAAGCAUGGGCAUGGAUACAGAAGCUACUCAGGGACAUGAGCAAUUCCUUAAAAAUUAUAACAUGACAUGGCAGGUACAACACAAGUACGGCACCGCAAAUGAAGUUUCUGUGCUUCCUAGUCCACAACUCUUGAGCUACGGGGCAAUGUAGGAGUGAUUGAUCAAUAGUCUCCCUGUUCCUCUUACGCAUACAACAUCAAUCCACCUCAACCACUUGUCACCUCUGUAAAUUAUCAAUGGUCAAAAUUUUCCCCAACACCACUGUCCAUAGAAAGAAACUAACCUAUGCUAGCUCUAAUAAGAUAUUGCCUUUGCAAAUAAAUGAUUUGCAUUAGGCCUAUGCUUUUGGAGUGGUAAAAAGCUUAGAGUAGCGUCUAGAGAUCCUUUCCUCUUUCGUCUCCUGUCCUCCAGUUAUGAAAAUACCUUGUCUUGCUGUUGAUUUUUAGAUCAAUAACCUGAAAUCCAGACAUUAAUGCUCAAUUGUGGCAUGGUGUCUGGUAUUGCAGCAUGGGAUAUUAUAUAGCAAGUCAUACAGGUGGAAUUUUUCUGGACACGAAACUCAACAAUUUUAUAAAGAAUCCAGUACAUUUAGGAGGCACAAGCAGACUAUUUUGUCUCUGUGAACUUGUAUGUACUAUAUUGUUAUGCGCUUUAUCUGCUCAUCAUUUUGGCCACACUUCUUGUUAUUCUUCUUUUGAUUCUUCCUGUGCUUCUGCUCUGCUUUUUGUUUGGCAUUGACAUUUGAGGUUAAUAAUAUUCAGCAUGUGGCAUGAGAUAAAUAUUUUGGGACAUGGGUGUGUAUCCAGUUUUCUUGUUUUCUAUGGUAUCUGUUGCAUGAAUUUUUCAAACAAGCUUCAAUUGGCAGGAAAUUAUGCUGGAGUUCCGUGCUGGUAAAAUGUUGUUUGAAGGGAAAAGGGUUGUCCCUGAUACUCGCAAAGGGCUUGUUCGCAUAGCAAGGGUAUGGUAAAUAAAAACCUACUGAAUAUAUAUUUUUUGACAUUCCAUUUGUCUAUUGAUCUACCUUACUAAAGUUCAAGUGUUCAUUUUCUGUUAUUUUUAAUUUAUCUUAACACCUAUGCUUUGGUACAACUUCUGAGAAAAUCUAUGUUGUAUUUGUGUCAGGGGGAGGAAGGAUUGGUCCAUUUUCAGUGGAUUGAUCGAACAAAGAAUGCUGUCGAAGAUGUAUCCUAGUUAUCAUUUUUACUUUUCACUGGCUGCUGUGGCAAAUUGUGUAUAGAGAAUGAAAUGCACACAAUGUUGUUGUGUUUGGUUGUGUUUAACAUUGUGUUUGGUUGUGUUUUUGACUUUCAGUUAGAUAAUUAGAUCCACUAUUCUACUGUAUGUCAAGCUAGGAAGCGUGGAUAGCUUUAAACUCCCCUUUAUUAAUGGCUAAUACAUUGGACACGUCUGGUAUGUGUAAGAUGCAUGUGAAUAACUUAACAUAAUAAUUUUGUAAAAGACAGCUAGAUAUGCGUGGGCCACAUGUUUUAUUCUAUUUGUGUGUAUGGGUGUGCUGUGUGAUAGGGCUGUCAUGCUAAAUAGUUUGUUACCAGUUAUAUCCAAAAUAAGUAGUGAACUCAUUGUCUCUGUUUCUUUCAUGGAAGUAGCAACUGACAUAAUUAAAUUCAUUGCUUUCACUGUUAUUGGAUGACAUUAUCAUUGUUUCUCCAUAGUGGUUUCAUAUUAUAGCCUAGUCCUUGCCCCUGCCUUUGGGAGCCUGUUUGAUUUCUUCCCCUUCUUCCUCUUCCCUCAUCAGUGAUUUGUUCUAAUUUUUAUCUUUGUACCUUUAGUUUUUUUUUUUUUUGGUUGAGAAACUAUCUUUAGUGUUUCUUAUGUGGCUAUUGAUUGGAACUUUUUUACUUCUAAAAUUUUUCUUGACACAAUAUCAUAGGAUCAGAUUGUCUUUCCUGAUGAAGCAGUUUUUGAAAAGGUAUAUCACUUUGUGUUUAAUUGUUUGGCCUUUAUAAUUGUGGUAUAUUUGAGUCUAGUAUUGAUCAUCGUGAAUAUCAUUCUUGAUUUACUCAGGUUAAUCAAUCAUCAGGAAGGGUUUACAUAUUGAAGUUCAAUACCGACGACCGAAAGUUCAUGUUUUGGAUGCAGGUCAGAUUCAAUGUUUAUAUAUAUAUAUAUAUUCUUUUCUUUUCUUUUUCCUCCUUUUGUGUAUAAUUAGCUGAGCCACAAGUUCUAAUAUUAUGACAUUUAUUCCUUGAAUUGGUUCCAGGAGCCUAAUGCUGAUGGUGACUCACAGUUAUGUAGCUUAGCCAACUACCACAUGAACCGACCAUUAGGUAUAAAAUUCAUUUUGCUUAUUUAAGUUCCACCAACUCUAUUUUUAAUGAAAUUAUUUACUUACAAAAAACAAAGUUCCACUAACUGUAGUCUUAGAAUGCAUAGAGAUUUGUCCCAAUUAUUUGACAUUGUCUGCAUCGAUCCUCUUUUAUGAUUCUGCUUGAAGGCCAUAUUCCCAUCAAGCACAACACGGGCUAACAUGUUUGUUUAUUCACCAAAUACAUGUGUUUUUUUUUUGGGGUACAUCAUGGUUUUUAAAUGCCUCUAAACUGAAAUGACUCAUGGUACUGAUGGUGUGUCUGUGUCUGUGUCUGUCUGAUAUCUUUUGUGCGUGACCAAAUUUUCCAUGCCAAAUCCCUUGUCUUAUCUUUAUUUAAUUCUGUUGUAAUUUUUCACUUUCCCUUUCUUUUUUAACUUAAAAAGUAAAAAAAUCCAUUUUCAGUGUUUCUUUUUUCUUGUUUAACUGUGUGUUUGUCUAUACAUCUUCACUUUAACCAUGCCUGUUGUUUUGAAAAGCUGCUCCCAUCCCCCAGUAAUUUUUCAUACACUACCACAGUUUGUUAAUUUGUUGAAGGUUUUCAUAUUUUAUGUAAUUCAUAUAAUGUAAUAUAAGAAGGUAUAUAACCUAAUACAAUACAAGAGGGUAUGCUAUAGUAUUAUAUGGCAUUAUAUUAUUUAGUGCACUUGAAAUGACUGAUUUUAAUUUAUAUAUUAUAUAACACUUAUAAGAGAAAAAAAAAAUAGUAUCAUAUAACCUACUUUCAAAGUAAGCUGGCUAUUUUGCUUUAUUGUGAGAUAUCUCCAUCAAGUUUAAACUUUUUAUUUUUAUUUUUUGUUUAACAGAGUUCCUUGGUGAAGAGGAGCCUGAUGCUUCUGUUCCUCUACAAGUUUCUGAAGAUAUGGUUGAAGAUGACAUCUCGUCGAGGUAUAUUUCUUAUAAUAGAAGAACUUGUACUUUUUUAUUUUUUGGGUUUAACUACUGAACAAUACUACUAUACUGAGAGUAUGAAGUUUCUUUAACAACUCUUGCAAUGCUGUUAGUUAUAUAAAUUGAACUCCUAAUACUUACAAGAUACAUAAUUUAUAAAAGCUGUUUACUUUACUAACCUGUUAAUCAGGCAGUCAAUGAUCAUAUUUAUGUGUAUCGAUAUGUUGCUAGCUUCUAACAAAAUAAUUGAACUCCUAAUACUUACAAGAUACAUAAUCCAAAAAUGAAAUGGAAUUUGUUUUUACUUGUAGAAAUUCAAGUUGUAAAUUCCCCUUCCACCUCACCAACAAUCAUAUGCAAUAUUCAAUACAUGACAGCUGAUCUCCAAAAGGCAGGAACCAGUACAUGUUAAUUCAUGUUUAACAAACAGAUUAUAUAGGUGGCCAGAAAAUUAACUUGUAAGAACAAAUCCACAGAGAUAUUUUUUCGAUGAUCGGAAAGAAAAGGGUUAUUGUGACACCAAAUAUGAUGGGAAAUUUGGACAGGGAAAUCAUUUGAAAGAUGAAGAUAGGUUUCUUCAUGGUGUUAUAUUUUGGGACCUAUAUAAUUUGUGCGUACUUAAGUUACCCAUUAUGUACUGUCUCUGUUGGACUAUCGUGCAGUGCAUGUGGUUUUAUUUGUACAUAUUAUUCCUAGCAGUGUUGUUGUUGUUUUUUUUUUUUUUUUUUUUUUUUUUGUUUUUGUGAUAUCGUAGGGAACCUUUCUAUAGAAGGGUCCUUUGGACUCGCCUCUAGUUAGUAAAACCCACGGCAAACUAACCCCGCCCACUAGAGCUAGUUGCCAGGUAAUCUAGGCACAUUCACCACUGACGGGUUAGACCUUGAACAGUGUUAAAGCCAAGAACCCUGGUUUUGAGUUCAAGUUCACAUAAUUGUGACAAGUCUAUCAAUUUGGAGAAUGAUUCUACAUUUGAUUGCAUAAUACUUUUAUAGGGAAAUUUGCCCAUGCAUGGAACCAUUGUGUAUCACAGGCCAUUUCUGGCCUCCCAUUGGACCAAAUAUUGCAUCCCUUGAUCAUUCACAACGCUUGCUACUGUCUUUCUUAAGUUUGGUGCACAUUGCAAUGCAUCUAGUCUUGGCACUAUUAGUAGGUUAAGGUGGUUUUUGGCUGCAGGGAAUGGAAUUUUGGGGGGUUUUGUGCAGGCUAUAACUUAUAAAGUUUUUUGAUGAAUCUUUUUUCUUUUAUAAAAUUUAGAAGUGAUUUUUUGCACUCUACUCUUGUUGAUCUUUGUUUUCCAAGUCCUGCUGUAUAUCAUAUUGUUUUUUUCAUUUGAUCUCCAGAGCUGGAAACUUGGUUGUCCCAAACUUCAGUGCAGAUGUAACCAGUGAAGUAAGCUCAUCAUCUGGACCAGUGAAAUUGGAAGACCUGCAACGAAUCUUGAGUAACAUCGGACCUGCAGGUAUGAAGAUGUCCCCUUAAAGAGUGCUUGUUUGUGUGUGCGCGCGCGCAUGCAUUCGUGAUUUUGAUGGUCUAAAAUCUCACUUUUCUUAUUUGAUGAUACUUGAUGCAGAUAUUGCUGGAGAUCCAGAUGGAGGUGAUAAAUUUGAUUGUUGUUUUACAUAUCAAUCUCUGGUAUCUGCUGACUGUAAAUUACGUCUGUCAAUAGAUAAUAAUGGAUAGUAUUAAAUGCACUUUCAAAGCUUUACAUUAAUGGGUUGCCCCCCAUCUAGGAUAUUUAUUAGGACCAUGUGGCAUAGUUGUUUAUCCAAUAUUUAAUUAAGAAAAGGGGAAAUUGAAAUAAAUAAAAAGAAGAAAAAUCUAUUUAAUGUGUUCGUUAGUUCAAGUCAAAGGGGAAUAGUUGAGUUGGAUCCAAAGUUAUGGACUGAUGCCUCCACCAGGAUUAUUGUUCAGCACUUCUUUGGAUUGAGAGGCUUGCUUGGGUUAAUAAGCCACUUAUCUGGGUUCUUCCCCAAUUUGUGAAAUUUUUCUGUCUUCCUUAUUAGGUGCACUUAUCAAAAAUGUCUUCCUUAUUAGGUCCAGCUUCACAGCUCUUGUAUCCUUUUCCUUAUUGUUCUCCCAGUUCCCCUUCUUUUUCAGGUGUUUGUGACUUGUGAGAAACCUUUAUUGAAGUCAAAUUAUGUGUGAUGCACAUAUUAGAAUUUAAACUAGUGUUUAAGUUAUGUUAAGCAUUGUCCUUGCUACACACAAUGAAAUAGAUCACAAAACAUACAUUACCAAGUGGAAAAUGAAAGAAAUAAGAGCCAUUAUUAUUAUUAUUUAUUUAGCAUGUGAAGACAUUUCUCCUUUGGAUCACCCAAUAAGAAAGUCUGGCUAUCAUUUUCCGAUUUGCAUUUCUUUCUCUAUUACCUGCUUCUGUGGAGACCUCUUGAUUCAUUUUAUUGAGUUUUGUUUAAAUAAUGGCCAAAGAGCUGUAGCUCAAAUGGCACCUCUUUUCCUGGUAAGAGUAAGAUGGAGGAUGAUGUUGGCUUCAAUGCUCACUGGCUGUAACUUACAAAUCAAAAUAACAGAAAGAAUUGUUAAAAUAGUGAAUGAUACUAAAAAGAAUAUGACCAGGUAGCAAUAGAUUUGUAGAGGGGCAGGUUUACCAUAUGUUGGUUUUCAUUGAUAUGCCUUUUAUGCCAGAUAUUUUUUAAUGGCUGGAUUUUUGUUUGCUUUCGUGGUAGUGUAGUUAGGUCAAAUGUUUUCAAGUAGGAUCUGUGAGUGAGUUCAUAAAAUCUGUUAAUUUUAUGUAGGGUUCAUGGUUCAGUUGGUUUUACUAAUACUGCAUGCAUUUCUACUUUUGUUGGCAUAUGGAUUUUAUUUUCUGACUUUUCUUUUGUUGGCUAGGCUUGGGAUUAGGAGAUAUUUUGAAGCCUGAAUUGAUAAUGCCAUUGAUUGAGACAUUGCAAUUGGAAGAGCAUUUAACAUCAUACUUACCUGAGGUAUACAAUAGUUUGGAGUUGUAGUGUCCAUAAUUCCAUUACCUCAGUGUUGUCCAUUUUACAACUUUAAUUGCUUAUGAGCUUUCAGGGUCAAUGGACUCCAGAGGACAUAUUAGAGUUGCUACAAAGUCCACCAUUCCGUCAACAAGUAGAUUCAUUUACUUAUGUGAGAAUUUGAACCCUAUUUAUUUAAUUUCUUAUUUGUGUAUGAUGCUGUAGAAGUCUCUCAAGGGUAACGUUUUUAUUUUCUUUUUUAUCCUGGCAUUUCUUGUAGGUACUUAAAACUGGACAGAUAGAUUUGACUCAGUUUGGAAUUGACCCAAGUAAAUGUAAGUUGUUAGUGGUUCUAGAAUCUCUUAUCUUUGUUUUUUUUAUUCCCAAUUUACUCUGCAGUAUUGUGUCUUUAGCAUGCUACUGGUUAGUAGUGUAUAAUGUUAAUAUACAAGGGAACGGGAAAAAUGUUGGUUUGGGCGACUUGUUUGAUGGGCAGGAGCAUUCACUGGAGUGAAUAAAGUCUUGAGUUUGUCAGUUCUUUAUUCUCUUGGAUGUUAGUAGAUGAUAGGAGGCCCUCAAUUUCUUGGAUUCCGUGUAUUGUUGGUUUUAAGUUGCUGAUGCCAAUGGGUAUAUAAUCUGUAUGCUUCAACUUUUUCCCUAGAUUAUUUUAAUAUCUUUUUUAUUAUUUAUGAAAAUAUUAUUUGUUGUCAGAAAAAAAUGCAAAGUGCAUUGUAAGUCAAUGAGCUCUGCCUUAAAUGGCAUUUCCUCCUCUCAACAGUAGAUGAAGGGUUCAUGGGUGUUUUCAAAUAAAUCCAUUGGGAGUGCUGUGUAAUUUACCAAUAAAGAAAAAUGCACAGCCUAUUGUAAGGUUCAUAGCCUUUAUAACGAGCAGCUGGUCUAGUGGCUUACCUUUCUGUUUCAUAUACUGCUGUGAUGUUCACAAACAUUUCCUUGAACCAUGUGGCAUGAAAUGUUCGUGAAAAGAUCAUCUUUAUUGGAUCCAAACAUGUAGAGAGCUGUUGCCUGUUUUUAAUUUUCAGUCUUCACAAUUCAUUUUUAGAAAAGGAAAUAGAGAAGAAAGAGGGUUUUACAGUUCCUUAUAUAAGAGGGGUUGUCAUGUGACCAUUUUCUUUUCAUCUUUUAUUGCAGACAACUUCACCGUAUUGUCCUUUCUUGAGGCACUUGAGGAUUCAGUUUCCAAGACAUUAGAUUCCCAGGAGUCAAGGCAAGAUGACAAGGAUUUAAGAUCUCAAUCUUGUAAUCGUAAUGAUCACAUGGAUGAGUCGUAG
rnacentral:sRNA from 1 species